GACGAACGCUGGCGGCGUGCUUAACACAUGCAAGUCGAGCGGUAAGGCCCUUUCGGGGGUACACGAGCGGCGAACGGGUGAGUAACACGUGGGUGACCUGCCCUCAGCUCUGGGAUAAGCCCGGGAAACUGGGUCUAAUACCGGAUACGACUCCGCGGUGCAUGCUGUGGGGUGGAAAGCCUUGUGCGGCUGGAGAUGGGCCCGCGGCCUAUCAGCUUGUUGGUGGGGUGAUGGCCACCAAGGCGACGACGGUAGCCGGCCUGAGAGGGCGACCGGCCACACUGGGACUGAGACACGGCCCAGACCUCCGUACGGGAGGCAGC
rnacentral:rRNA from 1 species